UACGGGGGGGGCAAGCGUUGUUCGGAAUUACUGGGCGUAAAGGGCGUGUAGGCGGCUUUCUAAGUCAGACGUGAAAUCCCUCGGCUCAACCGGGGAACUGCGUCUGAUACUGGAGAGCUUGAAUCCGGGAGAGGGAUGCGGAAUUCCAGGUGUAGCGGUGAAAUGCGUAGAUAUCUGGAGGAACACCGGUGGCGAAGGCGGCAUCCUGGACCGGCAUUGACGCUAAAGCGCGAAAGCCAGGGGAG
rnacentral:rRNA from 1 species